GUCUAAGUAUAAGCACUUGUACUGUGAAACUGCGAAUGGCUCAUUAAAUCAGUUAUCGUUUAUUUGAUUGUACCUUACUACAUGGAUACCUGUGGUAAUUCUAGAGCUAAUACAUGCGAAAAGUCCCAACUUCUGGAAGGGAUGUAUUUAUUAGAUUAAAAACCAAUGCAAGUCUUCGGGCUCGUUUUCUUGGUGAUUCAUGAUAACUUUUCGAAUCGCAUGGCCUAGAGCCGGCGAUACUUCAUUCAAAUUUCUGCCCUAUCAACUGUCGAUGGUAAGGUAGUGGCUUACCAUGGUUAUAACGGGUGACGGAGAAUUAGGGUUCGAUUCCGGAGAGGGAGCCUGAGAAACGGCUACCACAUCUAAGGAAGGCAGCAGGCUCGAAAAUUACCCAAUCCCGACUCGGGGAGGUAGUGACAAGAAAUAACGAUACGGGGUCUUAAUAGGUCUCGCAAUUGGAAUGAGUACAAUUUAAAUCCUUUAACGAGGAUCAAUUGGAGGGCAAGUCUGGUGCCAGCAGCCGCGGUAAUUCCAGCUCCAAUAGCGUAUAUUAAAGUUGUUGCAGUUAAAAAGCUCGUAGUUGGAUUUCGGAGUGGGCCAGUUGGUCCGCCGCAAGGUGUGUUACUGACUGGUUUGCUCUUCUUCGCAAAGACUGCGUGUGCUCUUGAGUGAGUGUGCGUAGAAUUUACGACGUUUACUUUGAAAAAUUAGAGUGUUCAAAGCAGGCUAUUGCUUGAUACAUGAGCAUGGAAUAAUGGAAUAGGACUUUGGUCCCAUUUUGUUGGUUUCUAGGGCCGAAGUAUGAUUAAGAGGGACAUUGGGGGCAUCCGUAUUUCGUUGUCAGAGUGAAUUCUUGGAAUUUAC
rnacentral:rRNA from 1 species